UACGUAGGUGGCAAGCGUUGUCCGGAUUUACUGGGCGUAAAGAGCGCGCAGGCGGUUCAUCAAGUCGAAUGUGAAAGCCCCCGGCUUAACUGGGGAGGGUCAUUCGAUACUGAUCGACUCGAAGGCAGGAGAGGGUAGUGGAAUUCCCGGUGUAGUGGUGAAAUGCGUAGAUAUCGGGAGGAACACCAGUGGCGAAGGCGACUACCUGGCCUGUUCUUGACGCUGAGGCGCGAAAGCUAGGGGAGCAAACGGG
rnacentral:rRNA from 1 species